rnacentral:rRNA from 1 species
AGUGAACGCUGGCGGUAGGCCUAACACAUGCAAGUCGAACGGCAGCACAGUAAGAGCUUGCUCUUACGGGUGGCGAGUGGCGGACGGGUGAGGAAUACAUCGGAAUCUACUUUUUCGUGGGGGAUAACGUAGGGAAACUUACGCUAAUACCGCAUACGACCUACGGGUGAAAGCAGGGGAUCUUCGGACCUUGCGCGAUUGAAUGAGCCGAUGUCGGAUUAGCUAGUUGGCGGGGUAAAGGCCCACCAAGGCGACGACCCGUAGCUGGUCUGAGAGGAUGAUCAGCCACACUGGAACUGAGACACGGUCCAGACUCCUACGGGAGGCAGCAGUGGGGAAUAUUGGACAAUGGGCGCAAGCCUGAUCCAGCCAUACCGCGUGUGUGAAGAAGGCCUUCGGGUUGUAAAGCCCUUUUGUUGGGAAAGAAAAGCAGCAGGUUAAUACCCCGCUGUUCUGACGGUACCCAAAGAAUAAGCACCGGCUAACUUCGUG